CAGUUUCAGUGUUGUAUUAAAUUGCUCCUCCAGCACCUCCUCUCCUCAUCCUCCAAACCCUCUCAUCUGACCCUCAUCUCCCUCUCAAGUGACAAGGCCACUCUCAGCACACACUGCCAACAUGCUGGGGACCCUCUGCACUCUCAUCACCGCUCUAACAUGUGUGAGUGGUGUGACGGUGGUGACACAGAAGCCUCCUGUUGUGACCGUGAGGAAAGGAGAGACAGUCACCAUGGACUGUAACCUGGGGACUGUUGACUAUUAUGCUAACUGGUAUAAACAGAUUCCAGGAGGAGUUCCUCAGCAUGUAGUGAGGUUUCAUCAUGGAUCGAGCUCUCCAACCUAUGGUUCUGGUUUCUCUUCUCCCAAAUUAACAUCCACUCAUCAGUCGACAACAGAUUAUCGUUUGAUCAUAAACAACGUGGAGGAGGGAGACUCUGCUGUUUAUUACUGUAGCGUAUGGGACGGCUCUGCUAGUGAAACUGUAUCACAGUGAUUUACACUGUGACAAAAACCUCCUCACU